AAAUUGAAGAGUUUGAUCAUGGCUCAGAUUGAACGCUGGCGGCAGGCCUAACACAUGCAAGUCGAACGGUAACAGAAAGCAGCUUGCUGCUUUGCUGACGAGUGGCGGACGGGUGAGUAAUGUCUGGGAAACUGCCUGAUGGAGGGGGAUAACUACUGGAAACGGUAGCUAAUACCGCAUAACGUCGCAAGACCAAAGAGGGGGACCUUAGGGCCUCUUGCCAUCGGAUGUGCCCAGAUGGGAUUAGCUAGUAGGUGGGGUAAAGGCUCACCUAGGCGACGAUCCCUAGCUGGUCUGAGAGGAUGACCAGCCACACUGGAACUGAGACACGGUCCAGACUCCUACGGGAGGCAGCAGUGGGGAAUAUUGCACAAUGGGCGCAAGCCUGAUGCAGCCAUGCCGCGUGUAUGAAGAAGGCCUUCGGGUUGUAAAGUACUUUCAGCGGGGAGGAAGGGAGUAAAGUUAAUACCUUUGCUCAUUGACGUUACCCGCAGAAGAAGCACCGGCUAACUCCGUGCCAGCAGCCGCGGUAAUACGGAGGGUGCAAGCGUUAAUCGGAAUUACUGGGCGUAAAGCGCACGCAGGCGGUUUGUUAAGUCAGAUGUGAAAUCCCCGGGCUCAACCUGGGAACUGCAUCUGAUACUGGCAAGCUUGAGUCUCGUAGAGGGGGGUAGAAUUCCAGGUGUAGCGGUGAAAUGCGUAGAGAUCUGGAGGAAUACCGGUGGCGAAGGCGGCCCCCUGGACGAAGACUGACGCUCAGGUGCGAAAGCGUGGGGAGCAAACAGGAUUAGAUACCCUGGUAGUCCACGCCGUAAACGAUGUCGACUUGGAGGUUGUGCCCUUGAGGCGUGGCUUCCGGAGCUAACGCGUUAAGUCGACCGCCUGGGGAGUACGGCCGCAAGGUUAAAACUCAAAUGAAUUGACGGGGGCCCGCACAAGCGGUGGAGCAUGUGGUUUAAUUCGAUGCAACGCGAAGAACCUUACCUGGUCUUGACAUCCACGGAAGUUUUCAGAGAUGAGAAUGUGCCUUCGGGAACCGUGAGACAGGUGCUGCAUGGCUGUCGUCAGCUCGUGUUGUGAAAUGUUGGGUUAAGUCCCGCAACGAGCGCAACCCUUAUCCUUUGUUGCCAGCGGUCCGGCCGGGAACUCAAAGGAGACUGCCAGUGAUAAACUGGAGGAAGGUGGGGAUGACGUCAAGUCAUCAUGGCCCUUACGACCAGGGCUACACACGUGCUACAAUGGCGCAUACAAAGAGAAGCGACCUCGCGAGAGCAAGCGGACCUCAUAAAGUGCGUCGUAGUCCGGAUUGGAGUCUGCAACUCGACUCCAUGAAGUCGGAAUCGCUAGUAAUCGUGGAUCAGAAUGCCACGGUGAAUACGUUCCCGGGCCUUGUACACACCGCCCGUCACACCAUGGGAGUGGGUUGCAAAAGAAGUAGGUAGCUUAACCUUCGGGAGGGCGCUUACCACUUUGUGAUUCAUGACUGGGGUGAAGUCGUAACAAGGUAACCGUAGGGGAACCUGCGGUUGGAUCACCUCCUUACCUUAAAGAAGC
rnacentral:rRNA from 2 species